CCCCGGCCCCUCUGCUUCUGCCAAGUGGAAUAAACGCCCGGUUUACCGGCAAAUAUUCACCCUUCCGACACCGAACGGGAGGCCGCCCCCCCCCCCCCCCCCUUGCCGGGCCGGCACCCCCGUCGGAGGCGGGCCGGGGUCCGGCCCCGCGGCCGCCAGCGCUCCCGGCGGCACCCGCCCCCAACUUCCUGUGCUUAUGUAACAGCUCUCCAGAGGAAGCUGCUCACAAGCCCAUCUGAUAUUUCGUGCCAGCUGUUUCAGUGGAGGCGUGCUGGAUCAGACUGAGCUCCACCUUCUUCGUUGAGCAAAACAUUUGGAAAAUGACACAGCCUGAAGAAAAAUAGGAAUUGAAAACCUGGCUCGAGAUUUCCUCAUGAACCAGUCUGCUCCUCUGCAUCUGUAGGAAGGGACAGGCAUCCAGCCUGGAUCUCAGCUGCAAACUUUGCCUGGGACACCAAAUAAUCUACUGACAUUUUGGAACUCCAGGAGAAGACCAGAAUGUUUCCACCAGCAAAGGUCUCUUGGAAUUGUUAAAAGAAGACUGGAACAGUGCUGGUUCUUGCACUUUCUUAAGCCUAAGAAAUGUUGAGGCCAGAAACAGCUUAUUCUUUAACUUCCCAUUGGAGACUGAACAUGGCAUGUCUAUCUUCAAAAUCCAGCCUUUCUCCAGCACAUCUGCCAGUAGUGGACGUUGACCUUCUCUUUCCUGCUGUGGGCAGACGUCAUUCAGUUCAGGAAAUAUCAGGGAGAUGACACAGAGCUGGCUUGGCUCAGCAACUGUGACCCUACAAGACAUGGUCUUGAAAAUCUUACUGUGCUAUAAAGCCAGGAUCUCUGUCCGGACAUUUCCAUUGCAUGCAGUCUUUGGCAUGUUUAGCAAGCAUGGGGAGCUGAUGGCAGAAGAACAAGGAUAUUUGCUGGCAAAUCAGCUUGUGAAGGAAAUGGAAGAGGAGUGAUCAGCUCUGGCUUCUGAUGCUGCUGUGGCUUCAUAGGAAGAUUCUGAAGAAGAUCUAGAAAUCCUUUGGCCAAUUGAACUCCACCCAGACCUCUGCCUCUGGAAGAUGGCUUUAUCCGUGGGUGAGCACUGGUUGGACAUGCUUGGUCAGUCUGAAUCUGGAAGGGCCACAAGACUGAGGGAAGGAAAAGUGUGUUUCUUCUGCUUCCUGUCUUACACAGGUAGUGACUGAAAACAUGAAGGUACCUUCAAGAAUAAAGUGGUUGUAUCAAAAAGAGGUCGAAGUGCUGUUGUUGCGGCUUGGUGAGUUCAUAUUCAACCUUCCUCUUCCAAGCACUUGUGUCUUUGGUGCUGUUGAAAUGGCAAAAGAAGCUGGCAAGUAUCUAUGGUUACACUGCUUGUUCUUUUAAAGAAUUAAAA